ACAGGUGGGCGAGCUGAAUAUGCUCAGGCGCUUGAGAGAACUCGGGUGAAGGAACUCGGCAAAUUGACACCGUAACUUCGGGAUAAGGUGUGCCUCUGGUAGGUGAACGCGUACAGCGGGAGCCGAGAGAGGUUGCAAAGAAUCGGUGGCUGCGACUGUUUAACAAAAACACAGCACUCUGCAAAGACGAAAGUCGACGUAUAGGGUGUGACGCCUGCCCGGUGCCGGAAGGUUAAAUGAUGGGGUGCAAGCUCUUGAUUGAAGCCCCGGUAAACGGCGGCCGUAACGAUAACGGUCCUAAGGUAGCGAAAUUCCUUGUCGGGUAAGUUCCGACCUGCACGAAUGGCGUAACGAUGGCCACGCUGUCUCCACCCGAGACUCAGCGAAGUUGAAGUGUUUGUGAAGAUGCAAUCUCCCCGCGGCAAGACGGAAAGACCCCGUGCACCUUUACUGUAGCUUUGCAUUGGACUGUGAUGAGGUUUGUGUAGGAUAGCUGGGAGGCUUUGAAGCGGGGGCGCUAGCUCUCGUGGAGCCAACGUUGAAAUACCAGCCUGACGUCAUUGCGGUUCUAACCUAGCUCCCUUAGCGGGAGCGGGGACCGUGCAUGGUAGGCAGUUUGACUGGGGCGGUCUCCUCCCAAAGCGUAACGGAGGAGCUCGAAGGUUCGCUUAGCGCGGUCGGACAUCGCGCUGGACGUGCAAGGGCACAAGCGAGCUUGACUGCGAGACUGACAAGUCGAGCAGGUACGAAAGUAGGACCUAGUGAUCCGGUGGUUCUGAAUGGAAGGGCCAUCGCUCAACGGACAAAAGGUACGCCGGGGAUAACAGGCUGAUACCGCCCAAGAGUUCAUAUCGACGGCGGUGUUUGGCACCUCGAUGUCGGCUCAUCACAUCCUGGGGCUGAAGCCGGUCCCAAGGGUAUGGCUGUUCGCCAUUUAAAGUGGUACGUGAGCUGGGUUCAAAACGUCGUGAGACAGUUUGGUCCCUAUCUGCCGUGGGCGUUGGAGAUUUGACGGGGGCUGCUCCUAGUACGAGAGGACCGGAGUGGACGUACCGCUGGUGUACCAGUUGUCUCGCCAGAGGCAUCGCUGGGUAGCUAAGUACGGAAGCGAUAACCGCUGAAAGCAUCUAAGCGGGAAACGUGCCUGAAGAUGAGAUCUCCCGGGGCCUUGAGCCCCCUGAAGGACCGUGGCAGACCACCACGUUGAUAGGCCGGGUGUGGAAGCGCAGUAAUGCGUUCAGCUAACCGGUACUAAUAAUCCGUGCGGCUUGACUCC
rnacentral:rRNA from 1 species